CCGAGGCAUCCAAAAUUUUUUUUUUUUUUUUCUCCGAUAUACCAAAGCAAGAACAAGAAGACCGAAGCAUCCAAAAUUUUUUUUUUUUUUUCUCCGAUAUACCAAAGCAAGAACAAGAAGACCGAAGUCUCAAAUUUUUUUUUUUUUUUUUUUUUUUUUUUUUUU